GACGAACGCUGGCGGCGUGCCUAACACAUGCAAGUCGAGCGAACAGACGAGGAUCUUGGUCCUCUGACGUUAGCGGCGGACGGGUGAGUAACACGUGGAUGACCUACCUAUAAGACAGGGAGAACUACGGGAAAUCGGAGCUAAGACCGGAAAAUAUAUCGAACCGCAUGGUUCAAUAGUGAAAGACGGUUGUGGUGUCAGUUAUAGACGGAUCCGCGUCGCAUUAGUUAGUUGGUACGGUAACGGGUUACCAAGGCAACGAGGGUUAGCGGACCCCAGAGGGUGGUCCGCCACCCGGGAUCUGAGGAUCGUCCGAGACUCCGGGGCGAGGCAGCAGUAGGGACUCUUACGCAAUGGACGAAAGGCUGAUGGAAGACAAUGGCGUGAAUCAUGAAGGUCCUCUGCUCGUUGAGUGCUGUUGUCCUGAGAGAAGAAAAGUGCAAUUAGCUAUGCACGUCUUGACGGUACCUGCUCAAGAAGCCCCGGCUAACUACGUG
rnacentral:rRNA from 1 species